CGCAAGAAUUGUUUCAUCCUCUCCCCUGCUCUUCACGCCAAAAUCCCCCUUUCAACUUCGAUUUGGAUGAAUCGAAACAAAGAUGUCGAUGGCGCGCCACCAUUGGUAAGAAUCUUCCCUCCUUCUCUUUUCUUUUAUUUAUUAUUUUUUUUUAAAAACCAGUAGAAAAAUGAAACAAAAAGCAGUAAAAAAACCGAAUAAAUAAAUCACUUUCGACAAUUGUUUUCUUUUUCUUUCGUAUUUUCGCAUUCUCUCAAUACAAUCGGUCCCUAUUUUACAAAAUAAAACGGCUUUAUAUAGCCCUAAAAAGAAAAAUAAAUCGAAUAUAAUUGCUAUUUUUUUGUUGUUUCUUCUCUUUCAGACUCUUUGAGUUCGUGCUUGUAGGUGUUUGUGGAGCGCACGUGGAGGAGUCGGCCCCGAGACGUGCGGCGGCUGGAGGCUUUGCUGGAAGCGGGGAGGCCGAUGCUAGGGUUUCUUAACCCUUCCUUUUCCAUUAAUUUCGGGCCUGGGUUAGGAAUUAGCUAUUGGGCCCGUUAUUGGAUUUGUAACAAAAUUGGACUAAAACAUUAGCCUUUGUUUCUGUUUGGUUUUUAUUUAUUUAACGGGCUUGGCAGAAAUUGG
rnacentral:lncRNA from 1 species